rnacentral:rRNA from 1 species
GAUGAACGCUAGCGGCAGGCCUAAUACAUGCAAGUCAAGGGGAUAGCAAUAUCACCGGCGGACGGGUGCGUAACGCGUACACAACGUGCCCAAGGGCGGAGGAAAGCGGCGGGAAACUGCCGGUAAUACUCCAUGGUGUUGUUGAGUGGCAUCACUUAACAACUAAAGUACAAGCGCCCUUGGAUCGGCCCGCGUUGGAUUAGGUAGUUGGUGGGGUAAUGGCCUACCAAGCCGACGAUCCAUAGCUGGUUUGAGAGGAUGAUCAGCCACACUGGGACUGAGACACGGCCCAGACUCCUACGGGAGGCAGCAGUGGGGAAUCUUAGACAAUAGG